CCUACGGGAGGCAGCAGUAGGGAAUCUUCCGCAAUGGACGAAAGUCUGACGGAGCAACGCCGCGUGAGCGAUGAAGGCCUUCGGGUCGUAAAGCUCUGUUGUCAGGGAAGAACAAGUACCGGAGUAACUGCCGGUACCUUGACGGUACCUGACCAGAAAGCCACGGCUAACUACGUGCCAGCAGCCGCGGUAAUACGUAGGUGGCAAGCGUUGUCCGGAAUUAUUGGGCGUAAAGCGCGCGCAGGCGGUUCCUUAAGUCUGAUGUGAAAGCCCCCGGCUCAACCGGGGAGGGUCAUUGGAAACUGGGGAACUUGAGUGCAGAAGAGGAGAGCGGAAUUCCACGUGUAGCGGUGAAAUGCGUAGAGAUGUGGAGGAACACCGGUGGCGAAGGCGGCUUUCUAGCCCGAUACUGACGCUGAGACACGAAGGCUAGGGGAGCAAACAGGAUUAGAUACCCUGGUAGUCCUAGCGGUAAACGUUGGGCACUAGGUGUUGUCCCUUAACCGGGGCAGUGCCGCAGUUAACACAUUAAGUGCCCCGCCUGGGGAGUACGACCGCAAGGUUGAAACUCAAAGGAAUUGACGG
rnacentral:rRNA from 1 species